UACAGAGGACUCAAGCGUUGUUCGGAUUCAUUGGGCGUAAAGGGUGCGUAGGCGGCGCGGUAAGUCGGGUGUGAAAUCUCGGAGCUUAACUCCGAAACUGCAUUCGAUACUGCCGUGCUUGAGGACUGGAGAGGAGACUGGAAUUUACGGUGUAGCGGUGAAAUGCGUAGAUAUCGUAAGGAAGACCAGUGGCGAAGGCGGGUCUCUGGACAGUUCCUGACGCUGAGGCACGAAGGCCAGGGGAGCAAACGGG
rnacentral:rRNA from 1 species